rnacentral:rRNA from 1 species
AUGGAGGAAUAUUCCACACGCUGCCUCCCGCUAAUCCCACCAAUCACGCUAAUCCCUCCAUGUCAAUUCCUCCCCUACCAAAAAUCCCUACCACUCCCAGGAGAGACGCACGCCGCCGUACGGAGUCAUCACCAACCGCUCCUCCGCCUCUCUCUCUCUCUCUCUCUCUAUCUAGCUAUCUCUCUAUCUCUCUCUCUCCACGCCCAUGUGACGCAAUGCGUCCUGGAUCGGAGGAAUCGAAUGUCGCCGCUCUGCCAUGUUUCUUUCAGGUGCCAAAACAACAGGCGCCGCAGCCGGCGGCCAACAGAGGUGAGCCGCACAUCCGCGUACCCGUCGAAUCUAUCUUCCUCACCACGCUGUGUCGAGAACACCGCUGUAGUGGCUCUCGAUUUGGUCACGCCUGCACCGUCGGGUGUUGCAGUACCAGCAGGGAAGCUCAAGGCCGCCACCGCCGGUGUCGGCUGCCCUGGUGCGGUAGGAAACAUGCAUGUGCUCGGGGACAUUGGCAACGUCGUCCACGCCACGGCCAGGUCCUCGACGGAUCCAGCUACCGGCCCGGCAUGGAUCAAUCGUCCAAUCAUCAGGAGGUUCAGCGCUCAACUCUUGAAGAAGGCCCAGGCCGAUCCAUCCAAGAAUGGCGUAGAACUGAUUCUAAAUUCCUCCAGCAGCGCGGGCAACCCUGAAGCCCCAUUCGCUGUUACUCGCAGGUUGAUUGGCACUGGCCGCACUCCAACACUGAUGCACAGGUUACCAUCGCCGUCCGCCGCUUCGAUGCUCGGCUGCUGCCCCAUGGACGCAUUCACCACACCCCUACAGCCGACUCUCCUGCCCUUCACUCUGUGGCUAUCCUUCAGGCAUGAUUUUGACUCCCUGCCAUACUGCCACCACGCUGCCCUGGCUAAUUUUUCUUUGUACAUGCAGGGAAAUUAA